AGAGACUCCCAGGUUCUGAAUUUCAGGUGGCCUUGGAGGUCCCACUCUUCUCACGAGUCCUUGAUUUUGUUCUUGACAUGUCAACUGGAAGAGCAUUCAAAUUUCCCUGAGUCUGUGUCUCAUGGGGAGGCAUGAGAAAAAGGCAGAAUCAGGAGGCCAUUGAAGUAGUCCAGGUAAGAGAUUAUUUAUGUAUUCAUUCAAUAAGUAUUUUAAACGCUCUUUAUGUGAAAGGCACUGUUGUUAGGGGCUAGGGAUAGAGCAGGAAACAAAAAACAUGGCCCCUGAGACCAGCGAGCUUACAUUCCAGUGGUGGAGAAAGACCAUGCACAAGUAAAUAAAUAAACCAGGUAAUUACAGACUGUGUAGUAAGUGUUGUGAAAUAUGACAAACAACACUUGAAAUAAGGUGGACAUGGAAGGCCUCAGGCCUGAAUAAGAAGGAGCCAGCUGUAUUCCAGGCAGAGGAAGUAGCGCAUAUCAAAGCCCUGACUGUGAACAGUCUGAUGAGGCCUGAACUAGUUUAGGAAGUAGGAAUGGAAAGAAGGAAUGAAUCUGUGAAUAUUUAGAAGGAAUAAUCAGAAGGACAGACUGAAUGCAGUGGUUGAAGGUUGAACUUUGGCACCUCGCUGAUGGUGGUGCCACUUGCAUUGGGGAAGGAGGAGCAGGUUUUAGGGACAAGCAUUUCCCCUCUGGAGGGCUCUCUUUCCCAUCUGUACAAUAGGUUAAUAUAACAACCAAGCUUAGUGCUAGGAUUUUUGUUUUCGUGGUUUUUUGUUGUUUUUGUGUGUGUGUGUGCAUGUGAUGGGGUCUCACUCUGACAUCCAGGCUUGAGGACAGUGGCAUGAUCACAGAUCACUGCAGCCUCAACCUCCCUGGGCUCAGGAGAUCCCCCCCAUCUCAGCCUCCCAAGUAGCUGGGACUACAGGCAUGCACCGCCAUGCCUGGCUAAUUUUUUUUGUUGUUUUUUCUGCAGAGACGGGUUUUUGCCAUGUUGCCCAGGCCAGAUUGCUAGUUCUUAAGAAUGUUAUGUUCCUCACACUUACUGAAUUCCAAAUGAAUUAAAGAUUAUGGCCGGGCAAGGUGGCUCACACCUGUAAUCCCAGCCCUUUGGGAGGCCCAGGCGGGUGAAUCACCUGGAGUUGGAAGUUCAAGACCAGCCUGACCAACGUGGAGAAACCCCAUCUCUACUAAAAAUACAAAAUU
rnacentral:lncRNA from 1 species